rnacentral:rRNA from 1 species
AUGAAACCUAGUGAUUCGUAACUUAGUGGCGGACGGCCGAGUAACGCGUGGAUAACCUGCCUUACACUGGGGGAUAACACUUAGAAAUAGGUGCUAAUACCGCAUAAGCGCACAGAGCCGCAUGGCUCAGUGUGAAAAACUCCGGUGGUGUAAGAUGGAUCCGCGUCUGAUUAGCUGGUUGGCGGGGUAGAAGCCCACCAAGGCGACGAUCAGUAGCCGGCCUGAGAGGGUGAACGGCCACAUUGGGACUGAGACACGGCCCAAACUCCUACGGGAGGCAGCAGUGGGGAAUAUUGCACAAUGGGGGAAACCCUGAUGCAGCAACGCCGCGUGAGUGAAGAAGUCAUUCGUGAUGUAAAGCUCUAUCAGCAGGGAAGAAAAUGACGGUACCUGAGUAAGAAGCCCCGGCUAACUACGUGCCAGCAGCCGCGGUAAUACGUAGGGGGCAAGCGUUAUCCGGAUUUACUGGGUGUAAAGGGAGCGUAGACGGUGAAGCAAGUCUGAAGUGAAAGGCGGGGGCUCAACCCCCGGACUGCUUUGGAAACUGUUUGACUGGAGUGCAGGAGAGGUAAGUGG